UUUCUAGCUACUUUACAGUCCAUUAAUCUAACCCAUAUUUCCUUAGCUUGUUUGCAGGAAUGUUCUGGGAGACUAUACCAAAAGCCUUGCUAGAAUCAAGGUAUAUCAUGCCCACUGCUCUUCCUAUAUCCACAGAGCCAGUCAUCUCAUCAUGCUAGGCAAUCUGGUUGGUUAGCCAUUACUUGCCUUUGGUGAACCCUGUCACAACCCAAAGGUGUGGUUUUUGUUUGUGUGUGUGCUUUGGCACCGAUAAAUUAUUUUCCCGCCGAUUGUAGCUUUCUUUGCACGGUAGAGUUCUCUGCUGCGAGAGAGAACUCUGGUGCAACGGGGAUUUCCCGCCAAAUUACAGCUUCUUUGCAGGGUGCAUUUCUUUUGCAUACUAGUGAUGCACGUUGCAAAGGAGUUCCCGCCAUUUGUAAUUGGAUUCGCACCACAUUAUUGGCCAAUUCCAAAUGUAGGCACACGUGGUGGCUAGCUAUUGGCUUGCUAGCUGUACAAAAGGCUUGGGUAGUUUCCGCCCAAGUCGGAGAGGGAGAGAAAGGAGGAGGGAGAGGGAGAACUCUGUGUGAAGAUCUCCAAGAGCUGCGGACCCAACGCGCCUCCCCUGAGCAGGCAAUAGAACCGAUCCUAUGGAGCUUUCGCUUCUAGCCUCUCCCCGUCACCUAUCGCAAUCCCAGACGUAUCCCUUUCCUGUGAACUUCGAACCCGCAGAGCCUCAACUCCGGGGAACCCUUCGAACCCAACCGAAUCGGACGCGCGGAGCCUAAACAACUCCGUGGGAGCAAUCGAAUUUGUCGUGGUCCUCUAGCGAGGAUCUAAGCGGGAGCUGUGCCUGGAAACCUGUCCAGCCUACACCACUACUAUCUUUGGGUGUAAGUAAACAAUCUUUUCAAUCAACCACUACGCGUUUGUGACUAACUCUAGCUCGUCGCCGGCUCUCUCCAACCCCGCGUGCCCGGGCUGCUGGCCACAGCCCGCGUGCGCGAAAGACGGGCCGCGGAUCGCCCCUCCCGACCUGCGUGUGGCGGUGGGAGCGGGGCCCGGCCCGCACAAACCCAUGCUGACUGUUCCUAAUCACCUACUUCUUCAAGGGUUUAGAAAUGAAUUCCUAGUGUACUUUCUCCAUGGUUUUUGCAGGGACUGAGGUGAGGCUGACAAGUCUGCAGUUCCCUGGAUCCUUCCUGUUCCUUUUCUUAAAGAUAGGUACUAGAUUUACCCUUUUCCAAUCAUCUGGGACUCUGCAAAUCACCAUGAGUUUUCAAAGACAAUGGCCAGUGGCUCUGCAAUCGCAUCAACCAACUCCCUUAGCACCCUUGGGUGCAUUGCAUUCAGCCCCAUGGAUUCAUACACAUCCAGCUUUUCUAAAUAGUCCCUAACCUGUUCUAUCACCACUGAAGGUUGCUCACCUCCUCCCCAAACUGUGCUGCCUGGUGCAGUAGUCUGAAAGCUGACCUUGCAUAUGAAGACUGGAUCUGGUCUGUGGGCCAGAUUUGGCACUCAGUGAUAACCCAGUGGGGGCCCAAUGCAGUCCUGUGGGAACAGCCUGGCUGGAGGCUGGCCCCCAUGCAGCUGCAUUGGGUCUCAGCUAUCCCAUUCCUACAUGGCUGCAUAGGGUCUAACCCAUUCCUGCAUGGCUGCAUUGGAUCCCAAUCAUGCACGGCUGGGCUAGGCCCCAUCCAGGCCAUUUCCAGCUGGCCUCAUUCGGCCUCAGUUGGGUCAUUCCUGCAUGGUGGCAUCUGUCCCUGGCUCAAUUCAGUUGCAGGGGAAUGGGACUCCAGCCAGGACUGAUUAAGCUGCUCAGGGCUUGGAAAAUUGGCAGACCUGCCAGCUGGAUUACAUGGCUUCAUUGGCUGUAUCUGGCCCACAGGCCAGGAGUUGAGCACCCCUGCAACAUUAUGUGGGGAGCUCACCACAACAUUAUGUGGGGAGCCAUUAGGGAUGAACCAAUAGUGGGAACCUUUGCAGCAGCAAAGAUCAGCAGUGGUUGAAAAGCCCUAAACAACUGUCAUGGAGCAGCAGCAAUUACUGUUUCAGGUCAGAGUCUGGAAGACCAAUAACAGACAUAAGCUGCCCAUAGGCUCUCAGAGGUACUAGUAUGUAACUUCCACCCCAGAACUUAGCAGAGUUCCUGGCAUAAAGCCCAGUUAUAGUAGCAACCCCAACCCUACUCCUUUCUGCAUGCAGGGAAGAAGAGGUGAUGGCCUGUAUUUUGUAACAUUUAGUAUACACAGCACUGUUAUUUUCCAUUUCUGUUUCCAGUGUAGGCAUAGAGGAGUGGUUAUUCUCUUUCUAGCCCAGGAUUGCUCCAUUUCUGGGGCCUAAUUUGUAAAGUGCUUGGACAGCCAAACCUCCCAUUAAAGUUGACUGAGGCUCCUGCUACUCAGCACCAGUGAAAACCAGGCCCUUGUUUAGUCUGAAUAAUGCUGUGAGAUUUACAGCAUUAUAUUUACCUCUACAGCUUCCUUUAUUCCAAGGAAGCCCUGCUCUUUGUGAGAUUGAAAUGGCACAUGGGUGACAAGAUGCUGGCACUAUGCGCCAAUUUGUCUGAGUGGCAAUCACUGCAACUCAAUGGGCUCAGAUUACAUUUUACCCUUCAUUAUCCUGUGCACAGUAGUUUAGUACUCAGUGACUACUCUACACUAACUAAUCUGAACCUGGCAAGCAGCAAACAUCAUGGUUAUCCGGGAACCAUCCAAGGAAUUAGGAUUUUUGUCUCUAAAACUAGGUGAUUCUACUUCUGAACAAAGGAAAAAUCUUCAUUAGCUGUCAGCAGUAAUAGGGCUUUUAUCUCUGCUUUAGACUUCAGCCAACUCUCUGUGAAGCAUCAUGCAGAAAGAACACUGUACUGGCUUACCAACUGGGUUGUCACUGUGGGAGGAACUGUUACUACAGUCUGAGAGAUGCGCAAUAUAAUUAUAUACAGAACCCUGAGAAAGAAGCAAUCUUUUAGUUCUUAGGAUAUAAUCUUGACUCUGCUUCUUCACAUGGAAGCUGUGUUUGCUAAAAUACAAAUGCUGUGGUCCAGUGGGAGAGCAUGGACACUUCAUUAGAAACAGAGAAUCCCAGUACCUUGAAAUCCAUGGGAUUGAAUUAGGACCCUGGUCUAGUUGGCAUCCUCUUGAUUUUGAAUGUUUUUAUUGUUCAGUAACUCCUCCAGUAAGUAGCAUCUCUUUCAGGUUGAGGGAGGCCUUAGUUGGGUUAUUCCUUACCCUGAGGUGGAAUCUCACACUGAUCUGUCAUUCACAGUCUCACACAAAAGUAGUGAUAUACGAGCAUUGGCCAAGAUUUUGGCAGGUGAGGUGGGAAAUGUUUUCCUAGUGUCAUGCACAGUCCAGAUUCUUUAAGACAGUUAGGGACAAAUCUACAAAGGUCUACAGGCAGGUCAUUUCCAUGGGAGUUAGAGACUUAAAUAUGCUUGUGAAUGUGGUCCUUGGUAAUUAUAAUAGCAGCACAAUGUGAUAAUCCCUGGUCUCCUGCACUUCUAACCUUGGACGCAGAAAAGACCUUUGACCAAGUGAACUCUGAAUACAUUCUAUUUAUCCUUAGAUUUGGGCCUAUUCUUAGAUUAUGAGAUAAAACCAUUCAGAUUUGAAACUUAACUCAGAUUCAGAUUCAGAGGUACCAGGAACACUCAUGCUCUUUCAUAUUUGUUUUGGUCCUAGAGGCUCUGGUGAUACCCGUACACUCACUCAAAUAUUUCGUUUAUCAAGAUUUGCCCAUUAGAGUACUGUUUGAUGCUGUACACCAGUGGUGCUCAACCUCUGGCCCACAGGCAGAAUCCAGCCUUCAGGGCCAAGUCAUCCAUCGCGUGGAGCUUCCCCAUGGGUCUGGAAAUUUACCAAUGGGGAAGCAGUAGCAAUAUUAAUUGCCAUGCCUUCUAGAGCCACAGCAAGUAACACUAACACUGCUCCUCUGUCACCAAAUUCCUACACCUAUGGGGAGGCUUGUGUUCUGAAUGAUGUGACGCCAUGGGCUAGAUCACUUCAGUGUACAGGACUGCUCUGUGGCUGGAUCUGGUGCACAGGGUUGGGCCACGGCUGGAUUCAAUGUGCUAGAUCCCUGUGGAUUGACUCCGUGCACUAAUCCCAUGCUGCAUCAGGCCUGAGAACAGACCCUGCCUGCAGGAUCCAGCCUCAUGCCACUUAUCUGGCCCACAUAUCCAGAAGUCUGAGCACCUGCUGUAUGCCAAUUAUGUCCUACUCCCCAAAUCUCAAAUCCCAUCUUCUAGUACUAACCCAAGAUCUUGAUUCAUUUGCAGGCUUUAUUCCAGUGGAACUUGCAUGAAGACUCAGAGUCAAUUAAAUAUCCAGGGAUGAAAAUGCAGAAAAUCUCCAAAAAAAAAUUUUGAUAAAAUGAAUUUAGAAUCUGUGCUCCUAUAGACACCAUAAGAUACCAAUCAGUGACGAGUACUUUCUUUGAACCUUGGUGGGAAAAUUAGCGCCGAACAAUGAUGAAGUGCUCUUACUCCCAAUUAUACAAAAAUGGCAGCAUCUGAGAACUCAUGAGUAACCCUGCAACAAUAAACUGACAGCCAUAUACAAUGAAGGAGAACAGCAAUCGGUUCUAAGCUUCCAGUGGGAUAUAACAAAAAACUUCAAGUAAAAAUAUUUUUUAAAACCUUUUGGACUCAGCUGGGGUCUCGAGCUUGUACUACUGGAGGAUCCAGAGCUGGUUGCCAACUGCCUCUUCAUACUGAGAUCUGUUGGA